rnacentral:rRNA from 1 species
UACAGAGGGUGCGAGCGUUAAUCGGAAUUACUGGGCGUAAAGCGUGCGUAGACGGUAGCGUAAGUCGGGUGUGAAAGCCCCGGGCUCAACCUGGGAAUUGCAUUCGAGACUGCUCUGCUAGGGUGCGGAAGAGGGAAGCGGAAUUUCCGGUGUAGCAGUGAAAUGCGUAGAUAUCGGAAGGAACACCAGUGGCGAAAGCGGCUUCCUGGUCCAGCACCGACGUCAGGCACGAAAGCGUGGGGAGCAAACAGG